rnacentral:tRNA from 2 species
UGCAGGUGUGGCGGAAUUGGCAGACGCACUAGACUUAGGAUCUAGCGCCUUCGGGUGUAAGAGUUCGACUCUCUUCAUCUGCACCAA